GUGGUUGUGGUAUAAUGGUUAGCACGUUCCGUUGUGGCCGGUAAGAUCCAGGUUCGAUUCCUGGCAACCACA
rfam:Wallemia ichthyophaga EXF-994 unplaced genomic scaffold scaffold1, whole genome shotgun sequence.